rnacentral:rRNA from 1 species
UACGAAGGGGGCUAGCGUUGCUCGGAAUCACUGGGCGUAAAGCGCACGUAGGCGGAUUGUUAAGUCAGGGGUGAAAUCCUGGAGCUCAACUCCAGAACUGCCUUUGAUACUGGCGAUCUUGAGUCCGGGAGAGGUGAGUGGAACUGCGAGUGUAGAGGUGAAAUUCGUAGAUAUUAGGAAGAACACCAGUGGCGAAGGCGGCUCACUGGUCCGGUACUGACGCUGAGGUGCGAAAGCGUGGGGAGCAAACAGG